UACGGAGGGGGCAAGCGGUAAGCGGAAUUACUGGGCGUAAAGCGCGCGUAGGUGGUUGGAUAAGCGAGAUGUGAAAGCCCCGGGCUUAACCUGGGAACGGCAUUUCGAACUGUCAGGCUAGAGUGUGGUAGAGGGUAGUGGAAUUUCCUGUGUAGCGGUGAAAUGCGUAGAUAUAGGAAGGAACACCAGUGGCGAAGGCGGCUACCUGGACCAACACUGACACUGCGCUGCGCAAGCGUGGGGAGCACACAGG
rnacentral:misc_RNA from 1 species